AUUGAACGCUGGCGGCAGGCCUAACACAUGCAAGUCGAACGAGUGGCGGACGGGUGAGUAAUGUCUGGGAAACUGCCCGAUGGAGGGGGAUAACUACUGGAAACGGUAGCUAAUACCGCAUACCAUCGGAUGUGCCCAGAUGGGAUUAGCUAGUUGGUGGGGUAAUGGCUCACCUAGGCGACGAUCCCUAGCUGGUCUGAGAGGAGGACCAGCCAAACUGGAACUGAGACACGGUCCAGAAGCCGACGGGAGGCAGCAGUGGGGAAUAUUGCACAAUGGGGGAAAGCCUGAUGCAGCCAUGCCGCGUGUAUGAAGAAGGCCUUCGGGUUGUAAAGUACUUUCAGCGAGGAGGCGUUACUCACAGAAGAAGCACCGGCUAACUCCGUGCCAGCAGCCGCGGUAAUUG
rnacentral:rRNA from 1 species